rnacentral:rRNA from 1 species
AACGAACGCUGGCGGCAGGCCUAACACAUGCAAGUCGAACGCACUCUUCGGAGUGAGUGGCAGACGGGUGAGUAACGCGUGGGAAUCUACCUAGUGGUGGGGGAUAACUUCGGGAAACCGGAGCUAAUACCCCAUAAGCCCUUCGGGGGAAAGUUUUUCGCCAUUAGAUGAGCCCGCGUUAGAUUAGCUAGUUGGUAGGGUAAUGGCCUACCAAGGCGACGAUCUAUAGCUGGUCUGAGAGGAUGAUCAGCCACACUGGGACUGAGACACGGCCCAGACUCCUACGGGAGGCAGCAGUGGGGAAUAUUGCACAAUGGGCGCAAGCCUGAUGCAGCCAUGCCGCGUGUGUGAUGAAGGCCUUAGGGUUGUAAAACACUUUCAUCGGUGAAGAUAAUGACGGUAGCCGAAGAAGAAGCCCCGGCUAACUCCGUGCCAGCCGCCGCGGUAA